rnacentral:rRNA from 1 species
GCGGCAUGCCUAACACAUGCAAGUCGAACGAUGUCUUCGGGACAUAGUGGCGGACGGGUGAGUAACGCGUGAGAAUCUGCCUUCAGGAUGGGGACAACAGUUGGAAACGACUGCUAAUACCCAAUGAGCCGAGAGGUAAAAGUUAUAUCGCCUGAAGAGGAGCUCGCGUCCGAUUAGCUAGUUGGUGAGGUAAGAGCUUACCAAGGCAACGAUCGGUAGCUGGUCUGAGAGGAUGAGCAGCCACACUGGGACUGAGACACGGCCCAGACUCCUACGGGAGGCAGCAGUGGGGAAUUUUCCGCAAUGGGCGAAAGCCUGACGGAGCAAUACCGCGUGAGGGAGGAAGGCUUUUGGGUUGUAAACCUCUUUUUUCAAGGAAGAAGCAAGUGACGGUACUUGAAGAAUCAGCAUCGGCUAACUCCGUGCCAGCAGCCGCGGUAAUACGGAGGAUGCAAGCGUUAUCCGGAAUUAUUGGGCGUAAAGCGUCCGCAGGUGGUUGAUCAAGUCUGCUGUCAAAGACAGAAGCUUAACUUCUGGCAGGCAGUGGAAACUGGUAGACUAGAGUACGGUAGGGGUUGAGGGAAUUCCCAGUGUAGCGGUGAAAUGCGUAGAUAUUGGGAAGAACACCAGUGGCGAAGGCGCUCAACUGGGCCGUAACUGACACUGAGGGACGAAAGCUAGGGGAGCGAAAGGGAUUAGAUACCCCUGUAGUCCUAGCUGUAAACGAUGAACACUAGGCGUUGCUUGUAUCGACCCGAGCAGUGCCGUAGCCAACGCGUUAAGUGUUCCGCCUGGGGAGUACGCACGCAAGUGUGAAACUCAAAGGAAUUGACGGGGGCCCGCACAAGCGGUGGAGUAUGUGGUUUAAUUCGAUGCAACGCGAAGAACCUUACCAGGACUUGACAGUUCGCGAAUCUGGGGGAAACUUCAGAGUGCCUUAGGGAGCGCGGAAACAGGUGGUGCAUGGCUGUCGUCAGCUCGUGUCGUGAGAUGUUGGGUUAAGUCCCGCAACGAGCGCAACCCUCGUUCUUAGUUGCCAGCAUUAAGUUGGGCACUUUAGAGACUGCCGUGACAAACCGAAGGAAGGUGGGGAUGACGUCAAGUCAGCAUGCCCGUUACGUCCUGGGCUACACACGUACCUACAAUUGCUUGGGGAACAAACGG